rnacentral:rRNA from 1 species
UACGGAGGGUGCGAGCGUUGUCCGGAAUCAUUGGGCGUAAAGGGCGCGUAGGUGGCGGGACAAGCGUGCGGUGAAAGCUUGGGGCUCAACCCCGAGUCGGCCGUGCGAACUGUCUUGCUUGAGCACUGUAGAGGCAGGCGGAAUUCCGGGUGUAGCGGUGGAAUGCGUAGAGAUCCGGAAGAACACCGGUGGCGAAGGCGGCCUGCUGGGCUAUGGCUGACACUGAGGCGCGACAGCGUGGGGAGCAAACAGG